rnacentral:rRNA from 1 species
AUUGAACGCUGGCGGCAGGCCUAACACAUGCAAGUCGAGCGGAUGAAGGGAGCUUGCUCCUGGAUUCAGCGGCGGACGGGUGAGUAAUGCCUAGGAAUCUGCCUGGUAGUGGGGGAUAACGUCCGGAAACGGGCGCUAAUACCGCAUACGUCCUGAGGGAGAAAGUGGGGGAUCUUCGGACCUCACGCUAUCAGAUGAGCCUAGGUCGGAUUAGCUAGUUGGUGGGGUAAAGGCCUACCAAGGCGACGAUCCGUAACUGGUCUGAGAGGAUGAUCAGUCACAAUGGAACUGAGACACGGGCCAGACUCCUACGGGAGGCAGCAGUGGGGAAUAUUGGACAAUGGGCGAAAGCCUGAUCCAGCCAUGCCGCGUGUGUGAAGAAGGUCUUCGGAUUGUAAAGCACUUUAAGUUGGGAGGAAGGGCAGUAAGUUAAUACCUUGCUGUUUUGACGUUACCAACAGAAUAAGCACCGGCUAACUUCGU